CAUCCUUGCCCUACUUGUGGUU
rnacentral:siRNA from 1 species